rnacentral:rRNA from 1 species
UACGGAGGGUGCGAGCGUUGUCCGGAAUCUCUGGGCGUAAAGGGCGCGUAGGUGGCUUUGUAAGCGGGUGGUGAAAGUCCGGGGCUCAACCCCGGAUCUGCCAUGCGGACUGCAAGGCUCGAGCACUGUAGAGGCCGGUGGAAUUCCGGGUGUAGCGGUGGAAUGCGUAGAGAUCCGGAGGAACACCAGUGGCGAAGGCGGCCGGCUGGGCAGUGGCUGACACUGAGGUGCGAAAGCGUGGGGAGCAAACAGG